CUUUUUGGAGAGUUUGAUCCUGGCUCAGGACGAACGCUGGCGGCGUGCCUAAUACAUGCAAGUCGAGCGGACCGGAUCAGGGCUUGCCUUGAUUUGGUCAGCGGCGGACGGGUGAGUAACACGUGGGCAACCUGCCCGCAAGACCGGGAUAACUCCGGGAAACCGGAGCUAAUACCGGAUAACACCGAAG
rnacentral:rRNA from 1 species